UGCACUUUUCGGCCCUUAGAACCCGAUGCAGGGAGGAUGGAAACUUUUCAUCGUUUUAAUGAGCAUUGCCUGGCAACUGAUCUUAGUAACCGAAUAUUUUACUGAUAAAGAGGUCAAUGGAAUAUUUUCAAAUGGAAACUUCUCUUUACCACCAAGUUAUGAUGUAGUCAUUGGUAUCUUAUCAGCAAGGGGUAAUACUGAGCAGCGCCAAGCACUCAGAGAAACAUGGGUUGGACAUGCCCUACAACACCCCUCCCUGGGGCAAAGGAUAUUGAUCAAGUUCAUAGUUGGCAGUCAGCCAUGUCCCAUACCAGCAUUAGACAGGCUUGAUCAGUAUUCCUGUGAACCAGACGUUGUUGUUGACCCAGUACUGCAGCAAGACAUCAUAGCUUACAUGGUUCCUAAAGGAGCAGUUGGAUAUCACUAUCACAAUGGCCCCUUGGGUAUGGACUUCAGGGUGAAUUUUCCUAUAAUUAUCACUCAGCUUGGAGUAUUUGACAGCAAUUCAGAUGGAAUUAAAAGUCAGCUGACAGUUCGUCUUUAUGACAAAGUCUCACAGGCGGAAGUACUGAGUGUGAACUUUACCCAAGAUGAACCUGGAGAGUUGAUUGGUGGAAGUAGAUUUAAACCUGUUGACCAGUUUCUCUUGCCAAAGGGAUUUGAAGGUUCCAUCGUUGGAGAGAACUUCAGUUUGUCUGAUCCCAGCAGUAACAACCCUUUGGUACAUGGUGGAUUUGACAGUGGUGGAGGUUUGAUUUCAUUUCACAGUGUGAGUCGCUUUGGAGUGAAGCAAAGCGUUUUCCCAGAAUUUGAAGAAAAAUUCUUUGAAGAGGACAACCAAUAUGGUGCUGGAUCAUUUAUGUACCGCGCUUAUGUUGUAGAUGACGAAUUUACGAAGGAAACGAUGGAGGAAAGGAAGAGAGAAAGGACUGAAAGAACGAAAAUGUGGCAUAAAGUUUUGUUGCGGGAAGAAAAAGAAUUGGAACGAGAGAUGCAGCUGUAUGAUGAUAUUUUGAUGGUGGACGUUGUAGAUGUUUACCGAAACCUUCCAAUGAAAUUACUUAAAUUUUAUUCUUGGGUUGCACUGAAUAUGAAGUUUAACUUCACUCUCAAAACCGACGAUGACUGCUUUGUGCACUUAGAAUCAAUUGUCGAGGGACUCAAUGAUAGAAAGUUGCGAGGGAAAGAGCGCACUUGGUGGAGCAGGUUUCGCACUGCUUGGCCAGUGGAGCGCGUAGGAAAAUGGCGGGAACUUGACUACACCGCUCCUGUGUACCCGUCAUUCGCCUGUGGCGCUGGUAAUGUGUUGUCUGCUGACCUAGUGAGAUGGCUGGCGUUGAACGCCGACAACCUUAAACCAUACCAGGGUGAAGAUGUUUCUGUUGGAAUUUGGCUUUCGGCGUUGGGACCAAACUUAGUCAAUGAUUACCGCUGGUCAUGUGGACGCGAGUGUGAUACGGGAACUUUCACUUCCCCUGAAAAUGAACCCGAGGAACUGCGAGAGAUGUGGGCUGAUCUACAGGCAUGUGGGGAUCCCUGUGGCUGUUCCUAGAUCACAAAGUUUAUUGAACUUCAAAGGUAGAGAGAAGCACUGUUGUCCAAGAACAAAACGCAACUACCUGGCCAAUUCUCGAAUCCUGACCUCGAUCUCGACUCGAAGUCCAGAGCGCUAACUUCAAGCCGCUGCAUUUCCAACUUACUCCAGAUGAGUACCCAUGAAUUCCAUUAAAUUAUCAGAUGCAUAUCCGAGUCCUUUCCCCUCUCCUUCAUCAGAUUCAGAGGACUCCUGCUCGUCACACUGGUUAAUGUCAAUGUCGCUAAGUACCACAUCGAUACUGACCACACCUCUAGCAACCAUAAAACAGAGAUUAGAGACAUCAAUGCUAUUGAUAAUACCCGUAAGAUAAAUAUGUAGAACUUUCUAGAAUUCUCAGCCAAGCUGACAUGCAUACCAUUGAACUUUCUGGAGCAUUCCAUUAGGUCUUGUAGUCGUGAUGUAAUACUACCAAAAUAGUGGUGUUGUAAACUUUCAUGUAGAAUACUUUGUGAGUGUAUAUAAGAACUCAGUUGUGUAGAAGUAGUAGUUGUUGUUGUUGUUGUCGGGAGUGACUUACGGUUGGGAAAGCUAUACCGAGAGAGAGCUACUGUAGAAGACUGUUCAUUUCGAGGAACUUUGGAGACAAAUGUGUGUUUGUGUCAGUGGUGAGCUAAGAAAUAGAUUGUAAUGGGCUUAAGCUUGUUGAGGAUAAUUACCGUACUGCCUUUAGGAUUCGCUCUUUCUUAAGAAUAUUGCAAUUCUCGUUUAAGUAGUUGGGUCUGUAGGAUUGAAGUGGUCUUUCUGUCGAUUAAAUUAUACCGUGAAACUAAUUGGAUUGAAAG